rnacentral:misc_RNA from 1 species
GAUGAAGAACGUAGCAAAAUGCGAUAAGUAAUGUGAAUUGCAGAAUUCAGUGAAUCAUCGAAUCUUUGAACGCACAUUGCGCCCGCCAGUAUUCUGGCGGGCAUGCCUGUUCGAGCGUCAUUUCAACCCUCAAGCCCUCGGGUUUGGUGUUGGGGAUCGGCGAGCCUUUCUGGCAAGCCGGCCCCGAAACCUAGUGGCGGUCUCGCUGCAGCCUCCAUUGCGUAGUAGUAAAACCCUCGCAACUGGAACGCGGCGCGGCCAAGCCGUUAAACCCCCAACUUCUGAAUGUUGACCUCGGAUCAGGUAGGAAUACCCGCUGAACUUAAGCAUAUCAAUAAGCGGAGGA